rnacentral:rRNA from 1 species
AACGAACGCUGGCGGCAGGCUUCAUACAUGCAAGUCGAGCGGGCGUCUCUUUUCGGAGUAGGCGUUAGCGGCGAACGGGUGAGUAACAGGUGGAUAAUCUGCCUCCUGGCGGGGGAUAACGGCUGGAAACGGCCGCUAAUACCGCAUGUGAUUGCCGGGUCCAUGCCCGGCAAAGAAAGGCGCUUCACGGCGUCACCAGGAGAUGAGUCCGCCCCCCAUUAGCUAGUUGGCGGGAUAACAGCCCACCAAGGCUUCGAUGGGUAGCCGAGCUGAGAGGUUGAUCGGCCACACUGGAACUGAGACACGGUCCAGACACCUACGGGUGGCAGCAGUAGGGAAUAUUGGACAAUGGGCGAAAGCCUGAUCCAGCCAUGCCGCGUGAGUGAUGAAGGCCUUCGGGUCGUAAAGCUCUUUUCUGAGGGAAGAACAGCCGGGGGAGGAAAUGUCCCCGGCCUGACGGUACCUUAGGAAUAAGGGACGGCUAACUCCGUG